GUGAUGAAAAUAAGAUAUCAUUUGAAAUAACAGAUGCUUUAUCAGUAUCAGUUGUUUUUCCAUUUGGUUCGUGUUCAUUGCAAGUUCAUCUACUGAUUAAUGCAUACAUUAGGGUUCCAAUGAUGAUUUGUAAUUAUGGAGAUAGUUUUAUUUUAGCGUUCUUGGCUUGAUGCUUGCUUUAAUUGCUUAGGAGUCACUUGAAAAUAUCCCCUUGAGCUGUACAAAAAACUCACAGCAAUGUAUGCUACAUGAAGAAGGGUAGGGGAAGAAAAGAGAAGAAAACCUCUCUAAUCUUUAUUGGCUAGUCAAUAGAGAUUAACCAUAAUACUUCCAUGUAUGUAUAAUGAAAUGGAAAUACCAAAUAUUUUUUAUAUGUUUAAAUUGAGAGCAUCAUGACUCAAACGUAAAUUCUUGAUCCAAAUCUCCGCCCUUAAUAAAUCACCUAAGGGACUGAGCUAGCCUAAGUUGACAGAAAGAACUUCAAUUUAACAAAACAGACAUACAUCUAUGCUUCAUGAAUUAUAGUUCUUUGUUCCACAUGAAAGUUCACAUUGAAAAUACACUAUACUUGAUGUUCUAUAUUGUCAGAAAAUUUUCGCCAUCUAAGCACUUCUUCAUCCGCCUACCUGACAAGAUGACAAAAGCUAAAAAUUACUGUGAAACAAAAUAUUAAAAGAAGUUACAGCUUAAAAGACUUGAAAAAACAGAAUAGCUAGGAUCAUAUCAGAAAAUAAGCAAAACUUACCUUACAGUACUGCUUGUUCUAUUAAUUUCUUCUUCUAACAAGUCUUUGAUUUCGUCUGGUUAACCUUUUUCGCUGUCCUUUCUCAGCCAUUCCCACUAGCCAUUGUGGUUUUCCUGUUGCGAAUACAGUGUAUCCCAUAGACAGUCCAAACACCAAUCCACAUCCAAAGCCCAUCAUAGCAAAUUUCCAGUCAAAUAUGCUUGCAGAAUCUUUGUUGUCAUAGGAUAUUGAUGAUGGUGGAGGUAGUUGUGGUGCUAGCUCACUGCUGCAUUUCUCAGAUAAUGGUAAUCCGCAUAACCCCAAGUUUCCAAUAAACGAAUCAUUAUCAAAUGUGCUGAACUGUUUGCCAUGAGGAAUGGGUCCUGCAAGCUGGUUAUAUGACAGGUUCAUUGCUUCAAGGAACGUGAGACUUGUCAACUGAUCAGGAAUUCCCCCAUCAAGCUUGUUUGAUGAUAAAUCUAGUGACUCCAGAUUUAUCAGAUUCCCUAGUGACGAUGGAAUUUGACCUGUUAGGCUGUUAUGUGAGAAGUUAAGCACUAGGAGUGAACCAAGAUUCCCAAUUAAUUCUGGGAUUUGUCCCUCGAAUCGGUUGCUUGAUACGUCUAUUGUUGUGAAAAUGUUUAGGAUUCUCACCAGUGAAAAUUCAUUUCCUUUCAUCGUCAAAACCACAGAAUCAUGAUAGUAUAGUUCCCCCAUAUACUUUACAUCCUCCUUAACCUCAUCCACCUUCAUCAUAGCUUGAAAAUGUGCAAAAUAUUUUGUUGGCAGGUUGCCAGUGAAAUCAUUGUGUGAGAGAUCAAUGAUUCGCAAACUAGAAAAAGGAGAUAUCCCUUCAGGUUCACCUAUGAAACCAUGGAACCUAUUGGAUCUCAACACCAAGACGUGUAGCUUUGGAAGAGUUUCCAGCCAUGGAGGGAAACUAUCAUUUAUCUGAUUGUUUCCAAGAUCAAGCACUUCUAACAUUUUGCAGGUGGACAAAGAUCGAGGUAAUGGUCCUUCCAACUGAUUGCCAUUCAAGUUAAGAUUCCUUAAUUUAUUGCCCUGUGUAAAUGUUCCUGGGAUGCUGCUUUGCAAUCUGUUCAUCCCCAGAUUUAACACUGACAAUUCACUACUGAAGUUUCCCAAACACUGUGGAAUCAUGCCACUCAAGCUAUUGUUGGACAAGUCAAUAAUUUGAAAGGUUGUUACGUUGCAGAUCAAGGGUGAGAUUUCUCCAGUCAAUUUGUUGCUUGAGAUUAAAAGCAUGUACAUGGAAGGAGGUGGAAGCGGAAGAGGUUGAUGAAGUAAAUUGAAACUAAGGUCUAGAUAUUGUAAGUUGCUUGAAAGUUCACUUACUUUUGUCAAGAAGUUGUAAGAAAGGUCUAGGUAUUGCAUUCCCACGCCCAUUAGCCAUUUGGGCACUUCACCGUGAAUUCUGUUGUGGGGCAGUGACAGAAAUCCCAACUGAUUUUGGGUUUUCAAGAAUCCAGGGAACUCUCUAAUGUUGCAAGAUGCCAAUCCUAAUCUGUAAAAUUGUGGCCAAGUUGUGUUGCUGGUCUUGCUAGUGAUGACUGAUAGGUGGUUAUUUGAAAGAUCAAGACCCCAAAGAUUUUUCAGCUUGGAGAACAUGUUCAAGUCCACGAUGCCACUCAAAUUAUUUGAAGGAAGAUGGAGAUUUUGCAGGUUCUCCAAUUCAAAUACUGAUGGUGGAAUUGAACCAUAUAUAUUAUUGCUUUCCAAGGAUAUUUCAAGCAAAGAUUUCGAUCGAAAUUUACCAAGCUGGCCAGUGAGUUGGUUAAAACUAAGCGAGAACCUCUGCAAUGAUGGAAGACCAUACAAACAAGAUGGUAUUGUGCCACUGAAUAAGUUAUAAGACAAGUCAAGCCUAAUUAGAUUGGAAAGGCCACAUAUUUGAUUAGGAAGGCUACCCUUAAGUUGAUUCUGUGACAAGUCCAGCCAGUAAAGUUUUGAGAGAUUAAAGAUAGACGAUGGCAGCAUACCACUGAAAUUACUGCUUGAAGCAGAGACAUAUUCCAAGUUGCUCAGAUUUUCAAAAACAUCCGGGAUCAUUCCUGUCCAAUUGGUGUAUGAAAGAUCUAGUCUUGUAAGUUGUUUAAGGCUUCCAAGAGAGGCUGGAAUUGACCCACUGAAAUGGCAGCUACCAAGUUCCAACACCAUCAGAGAUUUAAGAUUGCCAAUCGAAUCAGGUAAUUCUCCUGAGAAACUUGUGGAGCUGAGAACCAGCAACUCAAGAGGACCACUCCAAUCGGACUUUGGCAAAUAACCAUAUAGAUCAUCAUUUAACAUUAAGUUUAGGAACUGAAGCUUUGGUAGGUAGAAAAUGGUUUCUGGAAAUUCUCCUCGCAAUCCACAAUAAACAAGACUGAGAGUUGUGACAGAAGAAGAAAGAUUCACCAAAGACAUGUUUAUAUAAUCCAGAAAAACUUCUCUUACUUGAGUGAGGUUUUGAACGAUCGUUUGCAUAGUUGGCGUUUCAAGUCUCAAGGGUUCAUUGAUGGACAGAUCAAGUGAGACCAACUUGGACAAGUAAGAAAUUUCAGAUGGAACAGGACCAGAAAAACAUGUAGUAGAGGGGUUGAGAUGUGUCAAAUUUGCAAACCUACCAAACUCAGGUGGAAUAUUGGAGAGAUUGAAGUGAUUGAAAGCGAUAUUUAGCCUCUGGAGGUGUGAAAGAUUAAAGAGGUUGCUGUUAGAAGUUAAGCUGCCUCUAAGACCACUGCAACUAAGAUCAAGACCAAUAACUUCGCCUGUGACACCAUCACAUGUAACUCCAUCCCAUGAGCAGCAAUCUGAUCCGACAUCCCAAGAAACCAUCCUGGGAUGAGGAGGUUUACAGUCUAUCGAAGCAGACUCAUCAUAUGAGAAUUCAUUUUUCAGUUGGAGUAGAGAGAUGCUGUCAUCUUCAAGGCAUGCUGUAGUAGAGGAUGAUGAUAUUAUUAAUAGACAAUGCAAAUGGAAUAGGAGGAAGAAGGUAACUUGAUGUUUGGAAACUGAGAAAUUCAUCUUUCUUGUGGAAGAGAUUAGAGAUAAUGAUUGGAAAAAAGAGUAUCAUAGUCUACAUAUAUCGCCAGCUUCCAUAAGUUCAUAAGGGCAUACAAUUCCAGUUUUGAUUUGGGGUUUGUCUAGAAACAAAAAUCAAAUCCAAAUUUAAUAUAAUUCUGGUUUAAUUUUUUUACUAUUUAAAUUACAGUUUGAUUUUGAU
rnacentral:misc_RNA from 1 species